GAGGUGGAUAGUCUGAGAAGCUCUUAAUACACAUGGGCUUACCAAGCACCAUAUCAAUGAUGGCAACAUCACCAGAUUUCAAGAAUUUAGGGCCAUCUUCCAGCUUUUUACCAGAAUAGCGAUCAAUCUUUCCCUUCAGCUCAGCAAAUUUGCAUGCAAUGUGAGCCAUGUGGCAAUCCAGUACAGGGGCAUAGCCAGCACUGACUUGGCCUGGAUGGUUCAGGAUAGAUCACCUGAGCAGUGAAUCCAGCUGCUUCCAUUGUUACCAUGACGAACAUCCUUGACAGACAUGUUCUUGACAUGGAAGCCCACAUUGUCCCCAGAAAAAGCUUCACUCAAAGCUUCAUGGUGCAUUUCGACAGAUUUUACUUCAGUUGUAGAGUUGACUGGAGCAAAGGCAACCACCAUACCAGGUUUGAGAACAACAGUCUCCACUCGGCCAUCAGGAACAGUACCAACACCACCAAUUUUGUAGACAUCCUGGAGAAGCAGGCUUGUCAGUUGGACGAGUUGGUGGUAAGAUGCAGUCCAGAGCCUCAGGCAGCGUGGUUCCACUGGCAUUGCCAUCCUUACGGGUGACUUUCCAUCCCUUGAACCAAGGCACGUUAGCAGUUGGCUCCAGCAUGUUGUCACCAUUCCAACCAGAAAUUGGCACAAAUGCUACUGUGUCGGGAUUGUAGCCAAUUUUCUUAAUGUACUGCUGACUUCCUUAACAAUUUCCUCAUAUCUCUUCUGGCUGUGGGGUGGCUCAAUGAAAUCCAUCUUGUUAACACCAAUGAUUAGUUGUUUCACAGCCAGUGUGUAAGCCAGAAGGGCAUGCUCUUGGGUCUGCCGAUUCUUGGAGACACCAGCUUCAAAUUCACCAACACCAGCAGCAACAACCAAGACAGCAGAGUGAGCCUGAGUUGUCCCUGUAAUCAUGUUUUCGAUGAAGCCUCUGUGACCUGGGGCGUCAAUGAUAGUCAUGCAGUACUUGCUGGCCUCAAAUUUCCACAAGGAGAUGUCAAUGGUGAUACCACGUUCACUCUCAACUUUCAGUUUAUCCAAGACCCAGGCAUACUUGAAGGAGCCCUUUCCCAUCUCAGCAGCCUCCUUCUCAAAUUUUUUAAUGCUUCUUUUGUUGAUGCCACCACAUUUGUAGAUCAGAUGGCCAGUAGGGGCGGACUUGCCCAAAUCUACUUGUCCACUGACGACAAUGUUGAUAUGAGUCUUCUCCUUUCCCAUUUUGGCUUUUAGGGGCAGUUUUCACGACACCUGUGUUCUGGUGGCAAACCUGUUGCGAAAAGCUAUGUGACAUUCUUGAGAAGAUAAAACCCUAGUGAUAGCACAUCUGUGUUUCAUAGUGGCUAGGGGUGAAAGGAAGGUGUGAUUAUCAUUGGUCUUUAUCUUGAUUUUGUUGCUGGUUACGGGAAUCUGUCUGUCUGUUUGAUUCACAGAACUGUACACAUUUCCUGAAAAUGUUCAUUUUAUUGUGUGAUCAUUCUAAAAAUUAAAAAAGAAUCGAAUCUCUAAAAAAAGAAAGGACUGGGCAUGGUGGCUCAUGUCUGUAAUCCCAGCACUUUGGGAGGUUGAGGCAGGCAGAUUGCUUUAGCCCAGGAGUUCAAGACCAGCCUGGAUAACGUGGUGAAAUCCCAUCUCUACUAAAAAUACAAAAGUUAGCCAGGCAUGGUGGUGCAUGCCUGUAAUCACAGCUACUCAGGAGGCUGAGGCAGGAAAAUCACUUGAACACAGGAGGUGGAGGUUGUAGUGAGCCGAGAUCACGCCACUGCACUCCCGACUGGGCAACAGAGUGACUCUGUCUCAAAAGAAAAAAAA
rnacentral:lncRNA from 1 species